rnacentral:tRNA from 1 species
GGUGGCUCAGUGGUAGAGUGCCUGCCUUGCAUGCAUGAGGUCCUGGGUUCAAUUCCUCAGCACCA